CCCGCUGAACUUAAGCAUAUCAAAAAGCGGGGAGGAAA
rnacentral:rRNA from 1 species